rnacentral:rRNA from 1 species
UACGGGGGGAGCAAACGUUGUUCGGAUUUACUGGGCGUAAAGGGCGCGUAGGCGGUCGUGACAAGUCACUUGUGAAAUCUCCGGGCUUAACUCGGAACGGUCAAGUGAUACUGUCGGACUAGAGUACAGAAGGGGCAACUGGAAUUCUCGGUGUAGCGGUGAAAUGCGUAGAUAUCGAGAGGAACACCUGCGGCGAAGGCGGGUUGCUGGGCUGAUACUGACGCUGAGGCGCGAAAGCUAGGGGAGCGAACGGG